rnacentral:rRNA from 1 species
UCAAAUGAGGAAAGGCUUAUAGUGGAUACCUAGGCACCUAGGGACGAGGAAGGGCAUAGUAAUCGACGAAAUGCUUUGGGGAGUUGAAAAUAAGCAUAGAUCUGGAGAUUCCUGAAUAAGGCAACCUUUCGAACUGCUGUUGAAUCCAUGGGUGGUCAAGAGACAACCUGGCGAACUGAAAUAUCUUAGUAGCCAGAGGAAAAGAAAGCAAAAGCGAUUCCCGUAGUAGGGACGAGCGAAAUGGGAUCUGCCUAAACCAUGAAAAUGGGGUUGUGGGAGAGCAAUACAAGCGUCAUGCUGCUAGGCGAAACAACCUAAAUUUUGCACCCUAGAUGGAAAAAGUCUAGUAGUCAAAAGCAUCACUAGCUUAUGCUCUGACCCAAGUAGCAUGGGGCACAUGGAAUCCCAUGUGAAUCAGCAAGGAUCACCUUGAAAGGCUAAAUACUCCUGGGUGACCGAUAGCGAAGUAGUACCGUGAGGGAAGGGUGAAAAAAACCCCCAUCGGGGAGUGAAAUAGAACAUGAAAUCAUAAGCUCCCAAGCAGUGGGAGGAGCUAGGGCUCUGACCGCGUGCCUGUUGAAGAAUGAGUCGAGGACUCAUAGGCAGUGGCUUGGUUAAGGGAACCCACCGGAGCCGUAGCAAAAAUGAUUCUUCAUAGGGCAAUUGUUACUGCUUAUGGACUUGAACCUGGGUGAUCUAUCUAUGACCAGGAUGAAGCUUGGGUGAAACUAAGUGGAGGUACGAACCAACUGAUGUUGAAGAAUCAGUGGAUGAGUUGUGGUUGGGGAUGAAAUGCCACUCGAACCCAGAGCUAGCUGGUUCUCCCUAAAAUGCGUUGAGGCAUAACAGUUGAUUGGACAUCUAGGGGUAAAGCACUGUUUCAGUGCAGGCCGCAAGAGCGGUACCAAAUUAAGGCAAACUCUGAAUAUUAGGUAUGGCCUUAAAAUUAAGAAAGAGGGGUCAAAGUCGGCUAGUGAGACGAUGGGGGAUAAGCUUCAUCGUCGAGAGGGAAACAACCCGGAUCACUAGCUAAGGCCUCUAAAUGGACAUUCAGUGACAAAGGAGGUAGGGGUGCGGAGACAGCCAGGAGGUUUGCCUAGAAGAAGCCACCCUUGAAAGAUUGCGUAAUAUCUCACUGAUCAAGCGCUCUUGCACCGAAGAUGAACGGGGCUAAGUGAUCUGCCGAAGCUGUGGGGUGUAAAAAUACAUCGGUAGGGAAGCGUUUCGCCUUAGAGGGAAGCCUCCGUGUAAGCGGUGGUGGACGAAGCAGAAGAGAGAAUGUCGGCUUGAGUAACGCAAACAUUGGUGAGAAUCUAAUGCCCCGAAAACCUAAGGAUUCCUCCAAAAAUUUUGUCCAGGGAGGGUGAGUCAGGGCCUAAGAUCAGGCCAAAAGGCGUAGUCGAUGGACAAUAGGUGAAUAUUCCUGUACUACCCCUUGUUGGUCCCGAGGGACGGAGAAGGCUAGGUUAGCCGAAAGAUGGUUAUCAGUUCAAGAACGUAAGGUGUCCCUACCCUUUUUUCAGGGUAAGAAGGGGUAGAGAAAAUGCCUCGAGCCAAUCUUCGAAUACCAGGCACUACGGCGCUGAAGUAACCUAUGCCAUACUCCUAGGAAAAGCUCAGGUGGGUAGGUAGAGAAUACCUAGGGGCGCGAGACAACUCUCUCUAAGAAACUUGACAAAAUAGCCUGGUAACUUCAGGAGAAGGGGUGACACUUCACAUCACAAAGGGGGUCGCAGUGACCAGGCCCAGGCGACUAUUUACAAAAAACACAGGUCUCCGUAAAGUCGUAAGACCAUGUAUGGGGGCUGACGCCUGCCCAGUGUUGGAAGGUCAAGAAAGUUGGUGACCUGAUGACAGGGGAGCCAACGACCGAAGCCCCGGUGAAUGGUGGUCGUAACUGUAAUGGUCCUAUGGUAGCGAAAUUCCUUGUCUAGUAAGUUUCGACCCGCACAAAAGGCGUAACGAUCUGGGCACUGUCUCGGNGAAAUAAAGACCCUAUAAAGCUUCACUAUUUCCUGGGAUUGGCUUUGGGCCAUUCCUGCACAGCUUAGGUGGAAGGCGAAGAAGGCCUCCUUCCGAGGGCCCGAGCCAUCAGUGAGAUACUACUCUGGAAGGGCUAGAAUUCUAACUUUGUGUCAGGACGUACAGGCUAAGGUACAGUCUCAGGUAGACAGAUUCUAUGGGGCAUAGGCCUCCUAAAAGGUAACAAAGGCGUACCAAGGUUUCCUCGGGCCGGACGAAGAUUAGCCCUCGAGUGCAAAGGCAGAAGGGAGCUUGACUGUAAGACCCACCCGUCGAGUAGGGAUGAAAGUUUGCCCUAGUGAUCCGAUGGUACUGAGUGGAAGGGCUGUCACUCGACGGAUAAAAUUUACUCUAGCGAUAAUAGUCAGAUCUUCCCCAAGAGCUCACAUCGACGAGAAGGUUUGGAACCUCGAUGUUGACUCUUCGCCACCUGGGUCUGUAGUAUGUUCCAAGGGUUAGGCUGUUCACCUAUUAAAGCGGUACGUGAGCUGGGUUCAGAACGUUGUGAGAUAGUUCGAUCCAUAUCCAGUGUGGGCGUUAGAGCAUUGAGAGGACCUUUCCCUAGUACGAGAGGACCGAGAAGGACACACCUCUGGUGUACCAUUUAUCGUGCCCACGGUAAAUACUGGGUAGCCAAGUGCGGAGCGGAUAACUGCUGAAAGCAUCUAAGUAGUAAGCCCACCCCAAGAUGAGUGCAUUCUUAUUUUGACUUCCCCAGAUCUUUCGGUAGCACAGCCGAGACAGCGAUGGGUUCUCUGCCCCUACGGGUAUGGAGCGACAGAAGUUUUUUUGAGAAUUCAAGAGAAGGUCACGACGAGAUGAGCCAUUUAUCAUUACGAUAGGUGUCAAGUAGAAGUGCAGUGAUGUAUGCAGCUGAGGCAUCCUAACAGACUGGUAGACUUGAACCU